rnacentral:rRNA from 1 species
GAUGAACGCUGGCGGCGUGCCUAAUACAUGCCAGUCGAGCGAACAGACGAGGAGCUUGCUCCUUUGACGUUAGCGGCGGACGGGUGAGUAACACGUAGGUAACCUACCUAUAAGACUGGGAUAACUUCGGGAAACCGGAGCUAAUACCGGAUAAUAUUUCGAACCGCAUGGUUCGAUAGUGAAAGAUGGCUUUGCUAUCACUUAUAGAUGGACCUGCGCCGUAUUAGCUAGUUGGUAAGGUAACGGCUUACCAAGGCAACGAUACGUAGCCGACCUGAGAGGGUGAUCGGCCACACUGGAACUGAGACACGGUCCAGACUCCUACGGGAGGCAGCAGUAGGGAAUCUUCCGCAAUGGGCGAAAACCUGACGGAGCAACGCCGCGUGAGUGAUGAAGGUCUUCGGAUCGUAAAACUCUGUUAUUAGGGAAGAACAAACGUGUAAGUAACUGUGCACGUCUUGACGGUACCUAAUCAGAAAGCCACGGCUAACUACGUG